GAUGAACGCUGGCGGCGUGCCUAAUACAUGCAAGUCGAGCGAACGGACGAGAAGCUUGCUUCUCUGAUGUUAGCGGCGGACGGGUGAGUAACACGUGGAUAACCUACCUAUAAGACUGGGAUAACUUCGGGAAACCGGAGCUAAUACCGGAUAAUAUUUUGAACCGCAUGGUUCAAAAGUAAAAGACGGUCUUGCUGUCACUUAUAGAUGGAUCCGCGCUGCAUUAGCUAGUUGGUAAGGUAACGGCUUACCAAGGCAACGAUGCAUAGCCGACCUGAGAGGGUGAUCGGCCACACUGGAACUGAGACACGGUCCAGACUACUACGGGAGGCAGCCGUAGGGAAUCUUCCGCAAUGGGCGAAAGCCUGACGGAGCAACGCCGCGUGAGUGAUGAAGGUCUUCGGAUCGUAAAACUCUGUUAUUAGGGAAGAACAUAUGUGUAAGUAACUGUGCACAUCUUGACGGUACCUAAUCAGAAAGCCACGGCUAACUACGUG
rnacentral:rRNA from 1 species